rnacentral:rRNA from 1 species
UACGUAGGGUGCGAGCGUUGUCCGGAAUUAUUGGGCGUAAAGGGCUCGUAGGCGGUUUGUCACGUCGGGAGUGAAAACUCGGGGCUCAACCCCCGAGCCUGCUUCCGAUACGGGCAGACUAGAGGUAUGCAGGGGAGAAUGGAAUUCCUGGUGUAGCGGUGAAAUGCGCAGAUAUCAGGAGGAACACCGGUGGCGAAGGCGGUUCUCUGGGCCUGACCUGACGCUGAGGAGCGAAAGCGUGGGGAGCGAACAGG